UGCGCAGGCGGUUUUGUAAGUCUGUCGUGAAAUCCCCGGGCUCAACCUGGGAAUUGCGAUGGAGACUGCAAGGCUAGAAUCUGGCAGAGGGGGUAGAAUUCCACGUGUAGCAGUGAAAUGCGUAGAGAUGUGGAGGAACACCGAUGGCGAAGGCAGCCCCCUGGGUCAAGAUUGACGCUCAUGCAAGAACGUGGGGAGGCGAAACAA
rnacentral:rRNA from 1 species